rnacentral:sRNA from 1 species
ACCAAUGUGUCUACUUCUGGAAUAUCGG